rnacentral:tRNA from 1 species
GGUUGUGGCUCAGUGGUAUAGCACUUGCCUAGCAUGUGUGAAGCCCUGGGUUCAAUUCUCAGUACCA